CCUACGGGGGGCUGCAGUGGGGAAUAUUGCACAAUGGGGGAAACCCUGAUGCAGCAACGCCGCGUGAGCGAUGAAGGCCUUCGGGUCGUAAAGCUCUGUCCUAAGGGAAGAAUACUGACGGUACCUUAGGAGGAAGCCCCGGCUAACUACGUGCAAGCAGCCGCGGUAAUACGUAGGGGGCUAGCGUUAUCCGGAAUGACUGGGCGUAAAGGGUGCGUAGGCGGGCCUUCAAGUCAGAGGGGAAAGGCUACGGCUCAACCGUAGUAAGCCUUUGAAACUGUAGGGCUUGAGUGCAGGAGAGGAGAGUGGAAUUCCCAGUGUAGCAGUGAAAGGCGUAGAGAUUGGGUGGAACCCCAGUUGCGAAGGCGGCUCGCUGGACUGUAACUGACGCUGGAGCACGAAAGCGUGGGGAGCGAGCAGGAUUAGAUACCCCUGUAGUC
rnacentral:rRNA from 1 species